AUUGAACGCUGGCGGCAGGCCUAACACAUGCAAGUCGAGCGGAUGAAGGGAGCUUGCUCCUGGAUUCAGCGGCGGACGGGUGAGUAAUGCCUAGGAAUCUGCCUGGUAGUGGGGGAUAACGUCCGGAAACGGGCGCUAAUACCGCAUACGUCCUGAGGGAGAAAGUGGGGGAUCUUCGGACCUCACGCUAUCAGAUGAGCCUAGGUCGGAUUAGCUAGUUGGUGGGGUAAAGGCCUACCAAGGCGACGAUCCGUAACUGGUCUGAGAGGAUGAUCAGUCACACUGGAACUGAAACACGGUCCAGACUCCUACGGGAGGCAGCAGUGGGGAAUAUUGGACAAUGGGCGAAAGCCCGAUCCAGCCAUGCCGCGUGUGUGAAGAAGGUCUUCGGAUUGUAAAGCACUUUAAGUUGGGAGGAAGGGCAGUAAGUUAAUACCUUGCUGUUUUGACGUUACCAACAGAAUAAGCACCGGCUAACUUCGUG
rnacentral:rRNA from 1 species